rnacentral:rRNA from 1 species
GCCUUGGGUCCGGCAUAACUCCGGGAAACUGGAGAUAAUUCCGGAUAACGCACAUAUGCUGGAAUGCUUUAUGCGUAAAAUGGAUUCGUCUGCCCAAGGAUGGGUCUGCGGCCUAUCAGGUAGUAGUGGGUGUAAUGUACCUACUAGCCUACGACGGGUACGGGUUGUGAGAGCAAGAGCCCGGAGAUGGAUUCUGAGACAUGAAUCCAGGCCCUACGGGGCGCAGCAGGCGCGAAAACUUUACAAUGCGGGAAACCGUGAUAAGGGGACACCGAGUGCCAGCAUCAUAUGCUGGCUGUCCANGUGUGUAAAAUACACCUGUUAGCAAGGGCCGGGCAAGACCGGUGCCAGCCGCCGCGGUAACACCGGCGGCCCGAGUGGUGAUCGUGAUUAUUGGGUCUAAAGGGUCCGUAGCCGGUUUGGUCAGUCCUCCGGGAAAUCUGAUAGCUCAACUAUUAGGCUUUCGGAGGAUACUGCCAGACUUGGAACCGGGAGAGGUAAGAGGUACUACAGGGGUAGGAGUGAAAUCUUGUAAUCCCUGUGGGACCACCUGUGGCGAAGGCGUCUUACCAGAACGGGUUCGACGGUGAGGGACGAAAGCUGGGGGCACGAACCGGAUUAGAUACCCGGGUAGUCCCAGCCGUAAACGAUGCUCGCUAGGUGUCAGGCAUGGCGCGACCGUGUCUGGUGCCGCAGGGAAGCCGUGAAGCGAGCCACCUGGGAAGUACGGCCGCAAGGCUGAAACUUAA